ensembl:lncRNA
CACGUUUAGAAUGACACACGUUUACUUCCUAAAGUGCAGUUUAACAAACAUAGUCCGUGCUAACCCAUCACAUUCACUGUGUGAAUAAGGUCAAUAGUACCGUACCUGUCGUAAGGCCAGGUGGACGGGAGACGGCGGGGCACAUUGAGCAGAACAGACCCCCUGGUGGAGCGCUUGGCUCUUCCUCUGCCGUGUGUCUUUGUCGGGGGACAACCUUUGAGGCGCGGACGCUGCCAUGCUGUACGGGCGGGGCCGCGAGCAGCCCCCGGUCUGAGGGCCCGGCCCGUCUCCAGCAGGGCGCCUGCGGGACAAAGAACAGAGCAGUCGGCGAGGGGCUUCAUCCCACGGCUCACGUGGUCCUAUGAGACACAGGGUGGGCACGGCGUCGCACCUCUUCUGCUUCCUGUGGGCCGUCUUCUGCUCCUUGGUGUCAGAGCUCCGCUCGUCCUUUGUCGGCUCCGAGGAGCUGGGCGGGGGGGGACACGACUCUGGUUCCCGGCCGCCCGCCGCCGGGGAAGGGUUAGUCACGGUUCGUCGAGAGUGUUUUGGGGCGAUGUCGGUCGGGGGCCGGCCUAGCGCUUUGGGUGGCGUUGUUGGAAAAGACGAUGGCACCGGACCAGGGAAUCCAUCCCAGAGAGGGGGCUCCCUCGCCGGCUGGUGACUGGAGGCCGUUUGGCUGGACGCAGGACGGGGGGUGGAUGUCGAGGGGGGGCCCGCGGCUGGGGGACACGGCCCGUGCGUGCCUUUUCUCCCGUGUUGUGGCGUGGGAAGGAUGGAUGGCGGCGUUCUUUGCGACGGUUCGGGUCCCUGGUCCUGAGGCCGCUGUUCAAGACACUGUUAAGAGGAAGGCGAAUGAGGAGCUGUGAAGGACAGUACAUGGGUCCAAAAUAUGUGUGAGUUUAUACCAUAUGUUCCAUGGAGCCACUGACUGAGGCCUGGUGGAGACUAGAUGUCUGUCCAGCUGGAGGUGGCUGGUGGAGAGUAGGGUUCUGCCAGGCUGAAGGUGGUUGGUGGAGAGUAGGGUUCUGCCAGGCUGAAGGUGGUUGGUGCUGGUGGAGGCUAGGGAACGGUUGUGAGGGGGCCGGGGGCCAGUGGCUGGCCUGCUCCAUUUUCCUCCUCAACCGCCAUUGGAAGAGGAUGUCUUCUUCCGGGCGUUGGCAACUAAUGGAGGAAGAUGGCGUGUAGCCGUUCUGCGAGGGGCCCACAGGGGCCGAAGAUGAGCUUGUGUUACCUGUAGGUUCAUGAACAAAACUGCAUUUAGUAAUACAGUAUAAAAUGUAUAAUACACCAUAACAUAAUGCAGUGUGACAUUGUGUGUGUGGGGGGAUGGCUGGUUUAACCUGUGCACAUUGAUUGGUCAAUGUACAACAGGUAUGCAGCCACACCCAGUCCAAGAGUCCAAUCAGCCGGACUUUGCCCAGGUGAGGCUGCUUAAACCAGCCAUCCCCCCACACACACACACAUUCCACAAACACAUACAGUACAAUAUAACAUAGUGCAGAACACAAUCAUCUUAGGUUGAGGCUGCGGUUGUGGCUUACACGCGGUCGGUUCAAUCGGACAGGGAAAGAAGGGUCUUCGGAACGGCUCGUUCGCGCUGACGGGGGAGGAUAAACCAGAGCCCCUGAGGCCCUCAGAGCUGACGACCAGGGAGCCACUGCUGACGGAGCUCUCACUGAGAGGGAAAUCGAGAGAAGAUACACCGUUAAGGAUCAGACGCCCCCCCACACUCUACCGCUGUGAUCUGUGAUCUGACAAAAAUUAUGAUUAUUGGGCAAGAUCAUUUGAUUGGGAUUAUUCCAAGUGAUUAACCGAUUUACUAUGAUCUUGUGGUCGCUAAUGUAUAUAAAGAAGGAUUUUAAUAAAUAAAUUGCUUGGUUGUUAACUGCGUACAAACAAAUAUGUUUUUAUAAUACUUUGGAUCUUAAAAAUGCAUUAUUUGGGACCUUUUACGAUUGGCUAAUUCCAGGGUUUAAAAAAAUC